UACGUAGGGUGCAAGCGUUAAUCGGAAUUACUGGGCGUAAAGCGCGCGCAGGCGGCUUUGCAAGUCAGAUGUGAAAUCCCCUGGCUUAUCCUGGGAACUGCAUUUGUGACUGCAUGGCUGGAGUGCGGCAGAGGGGGAUGGAAUUCCGCGUGUAGCAGUGAAAUGCGUAGAUAUGCGGAGGAACACCGAUGGCGAAGGCGAGUCUCUGGGCCGUCACUGACGCUGAGGCGCGAAAGCGUGGGGAGCGAACAGG
rnacentral:rRNA from 1 species